AGCCCUGCCCAAGGCGGAGCCGUGAACCAUGUCAGGCGGGGAACCGAGCAGCAUUAAGCGGAUCACCGACUGUGGGCAGGUAAUCU
rnacentral:SRP_RNA from 2 species